rnacentral:rRNA from 1 species
AUUAAACGCUGGCGGAAUGCUUUACACAUGCAAGUCGAGCGGCAGCGCGGGGGCAACCCUGGCGGCGAGCGGCGAACGGGUGAGUAAUGUAUCGGAACGUACCCAGUCGUGGGGGAUAACUAUCCGAAAGGAUAGCUAAUACCGCAUACGACCUGAGGGUGAAAGCGGGGGACCGUAAGGCCUCGCGCGAUGGGAGCGGCCGAUAUCGGAUUAGCUUGUUGGUGAGGUAAAGGCUCACCAAGGCGAUGAUCCGUAGCUGGUCUGAGAGGACGACCAGCCACACUGGAACUGAGACACGGUCCAGACUCCUACGGGAGGCAGCAGUGGGGAAUUUUGGACAAUGGGGGCAACCCUGAUCCAGCCAUUCCGCGUGAGUGAAGAAGGCCUUCGGGUUGUUAAAGACUCUUUCUAGCAGGAACGAAACGGU